rnacentral:lncRNA from 1 species
AGGCUCAAAAGAUUCGUCUCGUAAAUUUCGAUCAAACUGUACAAAUAGUUUUUAGUUUUGUCUAUAUUUAAUACUUCAUGCAUGUGUCUAAAGAUUCGAUGUGAUUGGGAAUCUUGAAAAAUUUUGGGUUUUGAGAUAAAAGUAAACAAGGCCGUAAUUAACAGGCAGAUACAGGCGACCAGACCAGAUCCGGAUGCAGAGGCCAGUUCUAGCUUAUAGUAUACCUUAGCUCAUGGCACAACCUGUCUUAUUCUCUUGGUUGCUUCGGUGGCUAAACUAAUAAACUUAAUAAACUACUCUCGGUCGUGCGCUCUUAAUCAAUUUCUUUUCGGACAACUACUGCUUUUUGUAAUAUGUACUAUAUAGUAUACUAUAGACAAAAAUAUUAAUAAUAAAAAAAAGAAUAAAAUUUUCAGUAUAUCCGGCCCGC